rnacentral:piRNA from 1 species
UGGUUUAGAUGGCUUUGUUUCCUUGA